AUGAACGUUGGCGGCGUGGAUUAGGCAUGCAAGUCGAGCGAUAAAUCCCGCAAGGGGUGGAAAGCGGCGAAAGGGAGAGGAAUACGUGGAUACCAACCCUCAGGUCCAGGAUAGCUGCGGGAAACUGCAGGUAAUACUGGAUAAUAUCUCCGGAUCAAAGGUGUGAUUCCGCCGGAGGACGGGUCCGCGUCCUAUUAGCUAGUUGGCGAGGUAAUGGCUCACCAAGGCAAUGAUGGGUACUGGGUGUGAGAGCACGACCCAGCUCACUGGGACUGAGACACUGCCCAGACACCUACGGGUGGCUGCAGUCGAGGAUCUUCGGCAAUGGGCGAAAGCCUGACCGAGCGACGCCGCGUGUGGGAUGAAGGCCUUCGGGUUGUAAACCACUGUCGUAGGGGAGGAAAUAUAGGAGGGUACUCCCUCUUAUUUGACCUAUCCUAGGAGGAAGGACGGGCUAAGUUCGU
rnacentral:rRNA from 1 species